GCCUGGGUGGCUCAGUCGGUUGAGCAUCCGACUUCAGCUCAGGUCAUGAUCUUACGUUUAGUGAGUUCAAGCCCCACAUCAGGCU
rnacentral:tRNA from 1 species